UCGACUUCCAGUGGCCUGCAAGAUGUAGGACUCUCAGCUCCAGCACCACGUCUGCCUGCGCACCACCAAGUUCCCCAUCAUGACAAUGGACAGAACCUCUGAAACUGAACCCUGGCUGCAGACAUGCAUCUGCCUCCUUUGGUGAAGAGCCUGAGAACACAACUCCUCUGGAUAACAAAAGCUCCGAAAUUGCUGGAGUUCCCUGUACUACUUAUAAAAAUAUUAACCACAGACAAUGGGAGAACUUCUGUGGACCGUGGCUGCUGGAGAGAGAUACAUCAAAGAGAAGAAAAAAACAAAAAACCAGAAAUACUACCUGAUUACUCACACUUGCUUAGACAAGAAGCAAUAAACUGUCUUCUUGGUCACUGCCUGAAC